rnacentral:lncRNA from 1 species
AGGGACGCCCCCACAGGUAGACGAAGAGGGUCCAGAGAAAGGUGGGGAUUCCCUAACCCCUUCUUUCUUGGCACAGACAGGCAGAGAACACCUCUUUUCUCACCCCUGGGCAGCCCCAGGAAGUCAAUCCUUCCACUAUUCCUGCUCCGUGCCUCUCUUCCCUCUGCCCAGAUUCCUGGGAGACUCAAAACCCUGUUCAACUCUCUCUGGGCUAGCUGCUCCCCUCCCCAAGAGGAUUUCUCUCCAGAGCUGGUAUCAUCGCUUAAUGAUGUUCCACCAACAAGGGGAAGAUUCAGCCAUGUCUUCCUAGGAUCCAGCAUCCAAACCUGGACCAAAGUCCUCGGAUCCUCAGCAAUGGGGGUGCAUCUGGUGAUGGUGUUCAUGCUAAAUUUGUGCCAAGAGACACCUGUACUUGUGGGAGAAUUAAUAUUUCACUUCUGUUUAGGUUUCUUUUCUGGGAGCUGCUAUCACUGAAUACAUAAAGAAAUUGAGCCUAUAUGAUUUCAAUCUUCACCUUCUGAUGCUGAUGAAACAGGAUUCUAUGCAGAGAAAAUCCUCUCCAGUCAAGUAAUUGCAUCCAUUUCAUCUUCCCAGCCCUCCUCUAGAUGGGAGGUGGAGGACAGUGGGGACCCCAGCCAGAGCCUGGGGACUUGGCUGCCUUGGAACCAGAACCUGGCCCCUCAGAGGAGUUGCAGAAUUUCGAUAGAGGAGUGGCAGGAGGUGUACUGGCUGAAGAGGAGGCCCAAGGAACUCCUUUUCAUACAUCAAAACUGAGCUUAUCACCUCUACCCUGAAGUCAUCCUGGACAUCACUGGUCCCAGUUAAUCACUCACUUAUCUUUGCCAUCCUUGACCUGGGAAGAGAACGUUGCCCUCAUUGGUCUGGAAUCAGCAGGUACCUCAUGGCUGGAGGUGUAUUUUCAGGUGGGUUGGGACUUUGAAGAGGUGGCUUUUCCUAUGGACCCCUCUGACUCCCCACCUGUGGGCAUGACACAGGUGACCUGGCUGCCAGGGCAGAGGCUGCUUAGCCCUGCUCCAGAGAAACAGAGCUCUGAGGGCUUCCAGAAACCAGGGCUCCUGGCUCCUCAGUCCUUCCCACUCCUCUCUUCCUACUCCCGUGCUGCAUAUAAACUUUUCUUUUUUUUUCAGAUGGAGUCUCACUCUGUCACUCAGGCUGGAGUGCAGUGGUGCGAUCUCAGCUUACUGCAACCUCCGCCUCCCGGGUUCAAGUGAUUCUCCUGCCUCAGCUUCCCCAGUAGCAGGGACUACAGGACCACAGGUACUCCUUUGGCAUCUGGUGAGGCCUGUGGAUUCAUUCUCAGAAUCACAUUUUUAAAUGCACAUAAUAAAAUACAUAGAAUUGCAAAGGAAGUUAAUUAUAUUGAAAUACAGUUAUCAAAAAUAUAAAUAAAACAAGUAUGUGGUACAGUCAUAUGUGUGCUUCUUUAUUAAGUCAUUACAAAGCAAGAUCUAUUUGGAGGUCUAAUAACUGUCAUAUGCUUGAAAAAAUCCUUAACAAUCAUAAUAUAUUAAAAAAUCUGAUUUCUACUUUGGCAAAUCAUAGAUAUUGCUGAAACUGUGGUUUAUUGCCUGCAUUCAUAAUUGAAGGAAAUGCUAGAGUUCAGUGAGAAGGUUGUGAAAAUAAAGAGAGCCUUUUUUUCUCAUCAAG